rnacentral:rRNA from 1 species
GGACGAACGCUGGCGGCACGCCUAACACAUGCAAGUCGAACGCCCCUUUCGAGGGGAGUGGCGGACGGGUGAGUAACGCGUGGGAACCUGCCCCGUGGUGGGGACAACCCAGGGAAACCUGGGCUGAUACCGCAUAAGCCCAGUGGCUGUAGUGGUCAUUGGGGAAAGAUUUAUUGCCACGGGAUGGGCCCGCGUCGGAUUAGGUAGUUGGUGGGGUAACGGCCCACCAAGCCUACGAUCCGUAGCUGGUCGAGAGGACGAUCAGCCACACUGGGACUGAGACACGGCCCAGACUCCUACGGGAGGCAGCAGUGGGGAAUUUUGGACAAUGGGGGAACCCUGAUCCAGCCAUUCCGCGUGAGUGAAGAAGGCCU